CAAUUUGCAAAAUACCCACGACUUUUCACCCGAGCUGACUGCAAAUAUAAAAUCCGGCAACACUGACACAUCCACAACACACGACUCCUCUUCUGAAAAUCCUACUAGACCAGGCCACCACUGCCCUCCACUGCUGCUGCUCCCAACACGACGACGCCAACCACCUCGCCGCCUCAGUGAGAGAUCCGAAGCUCCCAAGAAAGCGUCAGGUAUUCAGCACUGUCCUCCUCCCUCGUGCAUGGAGUUGACCGGCCUGAGGACGACGG
rnacentral:lncRNA from 1 species